ensembl:lncRNA
CCCCCGGAUACGCGCGGUCCCGUGGCGGACGCUCUCCGCUCCCGAUUGGCCGCCGCCUCCUGGGCCCGCCCCGGCCUCGGCCUCCCAUUGAUUGAGGACGCGGACGCCGACCCCGAAACAUCGGACAGCGAAUGGGGGGGGGACGGCGGCGCUCCCUCAGCCGCCCCCGCGCCCCCCCCCAGCCCUCCCCCCCCCCCCCCGACCCACACAGUGCUCCACGUCGGGGGGGGCGACACUCUGGGCCUGCAUGGCUCCGCCCCACGGAAGGCGCUGUGGGGGCCGUGAGAACCGAACGCCCCCCGACUGCAGCCGCGACGACGAUAAAUACCGACGGCGGCCCCACAGAGCCUGGCUGCCCCACCGCCUCAGGUG